UUUCAUACAUCCAACGCCAUGAACCAAGUCCACUCAAGUAAGCUACAAGUGAACGCGCUUCAAUAACCAUUUCGUAUCUCCGGCGUCGCAUCUGCGUUUCAAGCUCUGAAUCCACACGCGGCGAACCAUACGACGGUCAACGCUCAUCAAAUCACGUUUCAAAUUCGUCAUCACUAACUCCCUUUAAGACUGUGACCACACAUACAUGAAAAUGGAAAAACAACAUUGAGAAUCGAUUGAAGAACUCACCGGACCGAAGUCGCGAUGUAGUGGCUUGACGAAAACGAAGUCGACAAAAAGAGCUCAGAGCUUUCCUCCUCUUCUUCGCGCAAGUGUUUUCUUCUUCGAGCAUGAAUUCAACACGAAAACCAGAUGAAGAAAAAGGGCUCCAAAUCGCGUCAAUCGUAACGAAUUUUUUACGCACCAGGUAUUGAAUCUUCACCCUACUUGAUUCGCUUCCUUCUUCCUCUUCUCGACUCUGCUACCGUUGUGUUAUUGCUUUUCGAUUGAAUCAUGGAUGUGAACUGUUGCGCGAGAGUGAUGAGAGAUUGAGAAGCUCAGAGAGAUGGAGAAUUUUAGAGUGAAAUUGAAAAAUGAAAUUGCAGAGAGUGGGAGAGAAAUUGAUUGAAUUCCCAAUUGAUGAUGAGUGAUGUGAAUUUAUAGAGUUGAUUUAUGUUAUGAAAUUCAUUCUAAAUGUAAACGAAAUUUACCUGAAAUGCAUAAGUCGGUUAGAAAUGAAAAGUUCUGUUAGAACAAGUUUAGUUUCAGUUAAUCAGUUUUUGUGGUUUUGAUUCUCUGUGUAUUGUGUUAGAUUAAUUACUGUGGAGCUCCAUUUUGUGUUAUGCAGGGUUCCUGUUAGUGUGUUUAGAGUUACUUAUGCUUAAAAGUUAUUGGUGUUUAGCAAAUGGUUAACAUAAUUAACGGCUGGGUGGUGACUAAACGGUGCAUAGAUUAAUGGUUGAGCUGAAAUUGGAUGGGAUUAAUUGUCUUUGGCCCUCCCUCUCUUUUCUUUUGAACUUGUAUUUUCCUCAAGCCAUCCCUGAAUGCGCGUCUGAACUGUGUUGUGUUACAUGACUUGUGUGACUUGCUCAUUAUUGGCCUUAAAUAUGGUAGAAUAGCCCGACUCUUGAAUUAACGGUUUAUGUCUUUGCAGGGAACAUAUGUGUAUAGAAUGCUAGACUACAUCAUGCAUAUUAGCUUCUUGUGAACAAAUAGGUACUUGUAACUGUGUGGCACUUGUUAUUGACAAUGCUUUUGAUGGUUUGUGAUUUUGAUGUGAUGAUAUUUAGCUCACGAUUUGAAAUGUUUGGCGUGAUUCUGCAGAUUCUUUGAAGGCAUAUGAAGUCAAGGCAAGAUGAUGGCAAUAUUGAAUCAUAAUGAGGCUGUACUCUAAAGGGAGUAUAUCUUAGGGAAGGGUUUUGACCUUGGUCAACUUGUGUGUUUAAAGGAAAAAUUUGUGUAAUACUUGACGAUGCAAUUGCAAUUAUAUAUGGAUGUGAUGGACUUGAAACAUAUAUUGAGAUGGUCUCUUUCGGAAAAAGCUUGAAAUUGAAAUGGAAAAUGUUUGGAUUAAUGGUUGUAAUAGAAAUGGAUUGAUGAAAUUGUAUUGAAUAUUGUAAUGUGGUUGAAUGUAAAUGAAUGUAAAUGAUUGGAAUAUUGUAAUGUGAAUUGAAGAUGAAUGUAAUUGUAAUGGAGAUGUGUAAUUUUAUUAUAUGGAAAUUGAAUUGACUUUGAAUUUUUUUUAAAAGAAAAUAUUCAUUAUAUGAAUGAAUGGGAUUAUGAUUGAA
rnacentral:lncRNA from 1 species